GAUGAACGCUGGCGGCUUUCCUAAUACAUGCAAGUCGAGCGAACGGACGAGAAGCUUGCUUCUCUGAUGUUAGCGGCGGACGGGUGAGUAACACGUGGAUAACCUACCUAUAAGACUGGGAUAACUUCGGGAAACCGGAGCUAAUACCGGAUAAUAUUUUGAACCGCAUGGUUCAAAAGUGAAAGACGGUCUUGCUGUCACUUAUAGAUGGAUCCGCGCUGCAUUAGCUAGUUGGUAAGGUAACGGCUUACCCAGGCAACGAUGCAUAGCCGACCUGAGAGGGUGAUCGGCCACACUGGAACUGAGACACGGUCCAGACUCCUACGGGAGGCAGCAGUAGGGAAUCUUCCGCAAUGGGCGAAAGCCUGACGGAGCAACGCCGCGUGAGUGAUGAAGGUCUUCGGAUCGUAAAACUCUGGUAUUAGGGAAGAACAUAUGUGUAAGUAACUGUGCACAUCUUGACGGUACCUAAUCAGAAAGCCACGGCUAACUACGUG
rnacentral:rRNA from 1 species